GAUGAACGCUGGCGGCGUGCUUAACACAUGCAAGUCGAACGGAAAGGCCAGUGCUUGCACUGGUACUCGAGUGGCGAACGGGUGAGUAACACGUGGGUGAUCUGCCCUGUACUUCGGGAUAAGCUUGGGAAACUGGGUCUAAUACCGGAUAGGACAACUUUUUGGAUAUUGUUGUGGAAAGCUUUUGCGGUAUGGGAUGAGCUCGCUGCCUAUCAGCUUGUUGGUGGGGUAAUGGCCUACCAAGGCGUCGACGGGUAGCCGGCCUGAGAGGGUGUACGGCCACAUUGGGACUGAGAUACGGCACAGACUCCUACGGGAGGCAGCAGUGGGGAAUAUUGCACAAUGGGCGCAAGCCUGAUGCAGCGACGCCGCGUGGGGGAUGAAGGCCUUCGGGUUGUAAACUCCUUUCGCUAGGGACGAAGCGUAAGUGACGGUACCUGGAGAAGAAGCACCGGCUAACUACGUG
rnacentral:rRNA from 1 species